rnacentral:rRNA from 1 species
UCCUACGGGAGGCAGCAGUGGGGAAUAUUGGACAAUGGGCGAAAGCCUGAUCCAGCCAUGCCGCGUGUGUGAAGAAGGUCUUCGGAUUGUAAAGCACUUUAAGUUGGGAGGAAGGGCAGUAAGUUAAUACCUUGCUGUUUUGACGUUACCGACAGAAUAAGCACCGGUUAACUUCGUGCCAACAGCCGCGGUAAUACGAAGGGUGCAAGCGUUAAUCGAAAUUACUGGGCGUAAAACGCGCGUAGGUGGUUCGUUAAGUUGGAUGAGAAAGCCCCGGGUUCAACCUGGGAAAUGACUCCAAAAACUGGGCAACCUUAAACUAUGAAACAAAGGUGGGAGGAA